rnacentral:rRNA from 1 species
GACGAACGCUGGCGGCGUGCUUAACACAUGCAAGUCGAACGGAAAGGCCCUGCUUGCAGGGUACUCGAGUGGCGAACGGGUGAGUAACACGUGGGUGAUCUGCCCUGCACUUCGGGAUAAGCCUGGGAAACUGGGUCUAAUACCGGAUAGGAGCCAUUUUUAGUGUGAUGGUUGGAAAGUUUUUUUCGGUGUAGGAUGAGCUCGCGGCCUAUCAGCUUGUUGGUGGGGUAAUGGCCUACCAAGGCGGCGACGGGUAGCCGGCCUGAGAGGGUGGACGGCCACAUUGGGACUGAGAUACGGCCCAGACUCCUACGGGAGGCAGCAGUGGGGAAUAUUGCACAAUGGGCGCAAGCCUGAUGCAGCGACGCCGCGUGGGGGAUGGCGGCCUUCGGGUUGUAAACUCCUUUCGCUAGGGACGAAGCUUUUUGUGACGGUACCUAGAUAAGAAGCACCGGCUAACUACGU